rnacentral:rRNA from 1 species
UACAGAGGUCCCAAGCGUUGUUCGGAUUCAUUGGGCGUAAAGGGUGCGUAGGCGGCGCGGUAAGUCGGGUGUGAAAUUUCGGAGCUUAACUCCGAAACUGCAUUCGAUACUGGCGUGCUUGAGGACUGGAGAGGAGACUGGAAUUCAUGGUGUAGCAGUGAAAUGCGUAGAGAUCAUGAGGAAGACCAGUGGCGAAGGCGGGUCUCUGGACAGUUCCUGACGCUGAGGCACGAAGGUCAGGGGAGCAAACGGG